rnacentral:rRNA from 1 species
UACGUAGGGUGCAAGCGUUGUCCGGAAUUACUGGGCGUAAAGGGCGCGUAGGCGGCACGGCAAGUCAGGAGUGAAAGGCCUGGGCUCAACCGAGGAACUGCUUUUGAGACUGCCGAGCUAGAGUGCAGAAGGGGCAACUGGAAUUCCCAGUGUAGCGGUGAAAUGCGUAGAUAUUGGGAAGAACACCUGAGGCGAAGGCGGGUUGCUGGGCUGACACUGACGCUGAGGCGCGAAAGCCAGGGGAGCAAACGGG